UAUAAGAUAUAAGUAUAGUUAUAGUUAAAGAUUAAUAAAUUAAAUAAAAUUUAUUUUAAAUCAAUUUAUUGAAUAUGAUUGAUUUUUGAAUCAAAUAUAUGAUUAUAUAUAUGAAUAUUUGAAAGAUACUAACAUUACUGAAUUCAUAUUUUAAAAAUAAAUUUGAUUAUAUUUAUGCAUAUGUUAAUGAUAAACUAUAUUUUGAUUAUCAAUAUUAUCACAUCAAUUAGCUAGUCAAGAUAUUCAUUGUUUGCUACUCAUUAUUCUCU
rnacentral:lncRNA from 1 species